GUGCUUGCUUCAGCAACACAUAUACUAAAAUUGGAACGAUACAGAGAUUAGCAUGGCCCCUGUGCAAGGAUGACUGCAAAUUCGUGAAGCAUUCCAUAUUAAA